rnacentral:rRNA from 1 species
UNGGAGAGGAAAGUGGAAUUCCUAGUGUAGCGGUGAAAUGCGUAGAUAUUAGGAAGANCACCAGUGGCGAAGGCGACUUUCUGGACGAACACUGACGCUGAGGCGCGAAAGCCAGGGGAGCGAACGGGAUUAGAUACCCCGGUAGUCCUGNCCGUAAACGAUGGGUACUAGGUGUAGGAGGUAUCGACCCNUUCUGUGCCGGAGUUAACGCAAUAAGUACCCCGCCUGGGGAGUACGACCGCAAGGUUGAAACUCAAAGGAAUUGACGGGGGCCCGCACAAGCGGUGGAGUAUGUGGUUUAAUUCGACGCAACGCGAAGAACCUUACCAGGUCUUGACAUUGAUGGACAGAACUAGAGAUAGUUCCUCUUCUUCGGAAGCCAGAAAACAGGUGGUGCACGGUUGUCGUCAGCUCGUGUCGUGAGAUGUUGGGAUAAGUCCCGCAACGAGCGCAACCCCUAUCUUAUGUUGCCAGCACGUAAAGGUGGGAACUCAUGAGAGACUGCCGCAGACAAUGCGGAGGAAGGCGGGGAUGACGUCAAAUCAUCAUGCCCCUUAUGACCUGGGCUACACACGUACUACAAUGGGAGUUAAUAGACGGAAGCGAGAUCGCGAGAUGGAGCAAACCCGAGAAACACUCUCUCAGUUCGGAUCGUAGGCUGCGACUCGCCUACGUGAAGUCGGAAUCGCUAGUAAUCGCAGGUCAGCAUACUGCGGUGAAUACGUUCCCGGGCCUUGUACACACCGCCCGUCACACCACGAAAGUCGGAAGUGCCCAAAGCCGGUGGGGUAACCUUCGGGAGCCAGCCGUCUAA